AUUGAACGCUGGCGGCAUGCCUUACACAUGUAAGUCGAACGGUAACAGGUUAAGCUGACGAGUGGCGAACGGGUGAGUAAUAUAUCGGAACGUGCCCAGUCGUGGGGGAUAACGUAGCGAAAGCUACGCUAAUACCGCAUACGAUCUACGGAUGAAAGCGGGGGAUCGCAAGACCUCGCGCGAUUGGAGCGGCCGAUAUCAGAUUAGGUUGUUGGUGAGGUAAAAGCUCACCAAGCCUGCGAUCCGUAGCUGGUCUGAGAGGACGACCAGCCACACUGGAACUGAGACACGGUCCAGACUCCUACGGGAGGCAGCAGUGGGGAAUUUUGGACAAUGGACGCAAGUCUGAUCCAGCAAUGCCGCGUGCAGGACGAAGGCCUUCGGGUUGUAAACUGCUUUUGUACGGAACGAAACGGUGAGCUCUAAUACAGUUUGCUAAUGACGGUACCGUAAGAAUAAGCACCGGCUAACUACGUGCCAGCAGCCGCCGUAA
rnacentral:rRNA from 1 species